AAGAAAGAAAGAAAGAAAGAAAGAAAGAAAGAAAGAAAGAAAGAAAGAAAGAAAGAAAGAAAGAAAGAAAGAAAGAAAGAAAGAAAGAAAGAAAGAAAAAGAAAGAAAGAAAGAAAGAAAAAGUAUUUAGUCAUUCAGUUUGCAUUGAUCUGUGAUAAUCCAGUUAUGAGUGGUGUUAUAGAUUCCCCUACCUCCCGUCUCUGCUCUUAUGGCCUCAGUGAUGAUGCUUUAGGAUAUUUUUUCAGUUAAAAGAGUCUGAUUAAUAAUGAUGGCAAUUAGCAAACAAAGUAAAACAAUUUGCAGACAUGCUUUCCAUCCUUUCAUUUGGAGGAAAAAUAGCUUAGCUUUACUCAGUCGGAGAUUUCUGUGCAGUAAAGCAGAAGGAAAUUUACCUAUGAGCGCUGCAGCUUUGGUGUGACAUUGUCACAGGCCAGAGAAUCUCUGGGAUAUUUCAGCCCCACCUGGACAUUUUAUUGGCACACACUAUCUUGAGAAACCCUUUUGGGGCCAGCAGAGAUUGAAAACUUGCAGGGUGUAUUGAGUAAAAUGAGUCUGUGACAAAGAUAAGGCAAUCAGUAAAUCGAAAUCUGCUGAUAGUGGUCAGGGACAGAAAUGAUGUAGCAGGAUCUGUAUGUCAGUACAGGAGAUGGAGAUAAGGGACAACAUCAGAUGGAUGUCAAGAAAUCCUCUCAGAUCAGGCUGGGCCACCUCACCCCCACCCUCACAAUGCCUGGCUCUUAAAACUGCAUUCCCAGAAUUGUCUUCAGAGGCAAGAAGCUCCAGAGGAAAAUGGAAAGCUUUUGAUAAGGUCCAAGAAACUCCUCCUGGAGCUUUUUACUGCUUUGGAUUUCUUAUCAUUUUCACCAAACAGGGACUGAAUCUCCGCACCAUUCCACCAUUGAAGUGAGAUUUUCCAACUGGACUUUUUAAUACAUCCACCCUCUGCUGGUCUUGGGUAGAGCUAGAGAAGAUAUUACUGUGAGAUAAGUAAUUGUCUGUAAAUUUGAUCAAAUUUAACAUAUGACUUUGCAGAUGUCUUCUUUAUUUAUAAAAAAUAAAUUCCUAAAGCUGAAAACUCA
rnacentral:lncRNA from 1 species